rnacentral:rRNA from 1 species
GUUCGAUUCUGGCUCAGGAUGAACGCUGGCGGCGUGCUUAACACAUGCAAGUCGAACGGGAUCCCAGGAGCUUGCUCCUGGGUGAGAGUGGCGAACGGGUGAGUAAUGCGUGACCGACCUGCCCCAUACACCGGAAUAGCUCCUGGAAACGGGUGGUAAUGCCGGAUGCUCCAGUUGACCGCAUGGUCCUCUGGGAAAGCUUUUGCGGUAUGGGAUGGGGUCGCGUCCUAUCAGCUUGAUGGCGGGGUAACGGCCCACCAUGGCUUCGACGGGUAGCCGGCCUGAGAGGGCGACCGGCCACAUUGGGACUGAGAUACGGCCCAGACUCCUACGGGAGGCAGCAGUGGGGAAUAUUGCACAAUGGGCGCAAGCCUGAUGCAGCGACGCCGCGUGCGGGAUGACGGCCUUCGGGUUGUAAACCGCUUUUGACUGGGAGCAAGCCCUUCGGGGUGAGUGUACCUUUCGAAUAAGCACCGGCUAACUACGUGCCAGCAGCCGCGGUAAUACGUAGGGUGCAAGCGUUAUCCGGAAUUAUUGGGCGUAAAGGGCUCGUAGGCGGUUCGUCGCGUCCGGUGUGAAAGUCCAUCGCUUAACGGUGGAUCCGCGCCGGGUACGGGCGGGCUUGAGUGCGGUAGGGGAGACUGGAAUUCCCGGUGUAACGGUGGAAUGUGUAGAUAUCGGGAAGAACACCAAUGGCGAAGGCAGGUCUCUGGGCCGUCACUGACGCUGAGGAGCGAAAGCGUGGGGAGCGAACAGGAUUAGAUACCCUGGUAGUCCACGCCGUAAACGGUGGAUGCUGGAUGUGGGGACCAUUCCACGGUCUCCGUGUCGGAGCCAACGCGUUAAGCAUCCCGCCUGGGGAGUACGGCCGCAAGGCUAAAACUCAAAGAAAUUGACGGGGGCCCGCACAAGCGGCGGAGCAUGCGGAUUAAUUCGAUGCAACGCGAAGAACCUUACCUGGGCUUGACAUGUUCCCGACAGCCGUAGAGAUACGGUCUCCCUUCGGGGCGGGUUCACAGGUGGUGCA